rnacentral:rRNA from 1 species
AUCUAGCCAUGGGCAGGUUGAAGGUUGGGUAACACUAACUGGAGGACCGAACCGACUAAUGUUGAAAAAUUAGCGGAUGACCUGUGGCUGGGGGUGAAAGGCCAAUCAAACCGGGAGAUAGCUGGUUCUCCCCGAAAGCUAUUUAGGUAGCGCCUCGUGAAUUCAUCUCCGGGGGUAGAGCACUGUUUCGGCUAGGGGGCCAUCCCGGCUUACCAACCCGAUGCAAACUGCGAAUACCGGAGAAUGUUAUCACGGGAGACACACGGCGGGUGCUAACGUCCGUCGUGAAGAGGGAAACAACCCAGACCGCCAGCUAAGGUCCCAAAGUCAUGGUUAAGUGGGAAACGAUGUGGGAAGGCCCAGACAGCCAGGAUGUUGGCUUAGAAGCAGCCAUCAUUUAAAGAAAGCGUAAUAGCUCACUGGUCGAGUCGGCCUGCGCGGAAGAUGUAACGGGGCUAAACCAUGCACCGAAGCUGCGGCAGCGAACGUAUCACCCAAGACAACUUUACGGAGUUGACGAUUGACGGAGCGAAGCGACGUCAAAGCGUUCAUUAAAGUCGAGUUGGCUUAGGGAUACGUUCGUUGGGUAGGGGAGCGUUCUGUAAGCCUGUGAAGGUGUGUCGUGAGGC